GGGUCAUUAGCUCAGUUGGUUAGAGCCCCGCGCUCAUAACGCGGUGGUCCGGUGUUCAAGUCACCGAUGACCCACCA
rnacentral:tRNA from 1 species